rnacentral:rRNA from 1 species
AUUGAACGCUGGCGGCAGGCCUAAUACAUGCAAGUCGAGCGGCAGCGGGAAAGUAGCUUGCUACUUUUGCCGGCGAGCGGCGGACGGGUGAGUAAUGCCUGGGAAAUUGCCCAGUCGAGGGGGAUAACAGUUGGAAACGACUGCUAAUACCGCAUACGCCCUACGGGGGAAAGCAGGGGACCUUCGGGCCUUGCGCGAUUGGAUAUGCCCAGGUGGGAUUAGCUAGUUGGUGAGGUAAUGGCUCACCAAGGCGACGAUCCCUAGCUGGUCUGAGAGGAUGAUCAGCCACACUGGAAAUGAGACACGGUCCAGACUCCUACGGGAGGCAGCAGUGGGGAAUAUUGCACAAUGGGGGAAACCCUGAUGCAGCCAUGCCGCGUGUGUGAAGAAGGCCUUCGGGUUGUAAAGCACUUUCAGCGAGGAGGAAAGGUUGAUGCCUAAUACGUAUCAACUGUGACGUUACUCGCAGAAGAAGCACCGGCUAACUCCGUGCCAGCCGCCGCAGUAA